rnacentral:misc_RNA from 1 species
GAUGAAGAACGUAGCGAAAUGCGAUAAGUAAUGUGAAUUGCAGAAUUCAGUGAAUCAUCGAAUCUUUGAACGCACCUUGCACCCUUUGGUUAUUCCGAAGGGUAUGCCUGUUUGAGUAUCAUGAACACCUCAACUCUCAUGGUUUGCCAUGAUGAGCUUGGACUUUGGGGGUCUUGCUGGCCUGUGGUCAGCUCCUCUCAAAUGGAUUAGCUUGCCAGUGUUUGGUGGCAUCACAGGUGUGAUAACUAUCUACGCUUGUGGUUUUCCACCAGGUAACCUUCAGCAAUGGGGGUUCGCUGGGGCUCAUAAAUGUCUCUCCUCAGUGAGGACAGCUCUUUGAACGUUUGAUCUCAAAUCAGGUAGGACUACCCGCUGAACUUAAGCAUAUCAAUAAGCGGAGGA